CUACACUAUAAGACUGGGAUAACUUCGGGAAACCGGAGCUAAUACCGGAUAAUAUUUUGAACCGCAUGGUUCAAAAGUGAAAGACGGUCUUGCUGUCACUUAUAGAUGGAUCCGCGCUGCAUUAGCUAGUUGGUAAGGUAACGGCUUACCAAGGCAACGAUGCAUAGCCGACCUGAGAGGGUGAUCGGCCACACUGGAACUGAGACACGGUCCAG
rnacentral:rRNA from 1 species